UCCCGGGGCGACUUCCAUCAGAGGAGGACGUGCGUUCAGUCGCUCUUCUUGAUUUCGCCUAAACACCCCCUACAGCCCCUUCCCCCCCGGUUAUCAUGGCUGCAAUAGAACAUAAUUAAGGUGUCGGGCACCCGGCACGUGAACUAAGAUGGAGUAUUGCUUCAGGGCGGCUCGCUAAAUGGUGCUGUGUGUUGCUGCCCUCCACAGCACCAUUGGCCGCCCUGAAAAUCACGGCAGGGGAACCAGGAACAGGAGCUCAGCAUCACUAAGUUAAGUACCUCACCAUGACACUCUCAUCUUUGUCUUCCUUUCAAAACUUUUUACUUCCCUCUCGAACCCCACCUUCUACUCAAC